AUUGAACGCUGGCGGCAGGCCUAACACAUGCAAGUCGAGCGGAUGACGGGAGCUUGCUCCUUGAUUCAGCGGCGGACGGGUGAGUAAUGCCUAGGAAUCUGCCUGGUAGUGGGGGACAACGUUUCGAAAGGAACGCUAAUACCGCAUACGUCCUACGGGAGAAAGCAGGGGACCUUCGGGCCUCGCGCUAUCAGAUGAGCCUAGGUCGGAUUAGCUAGUUGGUGGGGUAAUGGCUAACCAAGGCGACGAUCCGUAACUGGUCUGAGAGGAUGAUCAGUAAAACUGGAACUGAGACACGGUCCAGACUCCUACGGGAGGCAGCAGUGGGGAAUAUUGGACAAUGGGCGAAAGCCUGAUCCAGCCAGGCCGCGUGUGUGAAGAAGGUCUUCGGAUUGUAAAGCACUUUAAGUUGGGAGGAAGGGCAGUAAGCUAAUACCUUGCUGUUUUGACGUUACCGACAGAAUAAGCACCGGCUAACUCUGUGCCAGCAGCCGCCGUAAAAC
rnacentral:rRNA from 1 species